AUUCAUUCACUCAUAAAUCACAUACCGUGGGCACAGCUCCAAGGCAGGCCUGCAGAUACAGUGGCUGUGGCUUUCGUGGUGCCUUCACAGUCUAAUGGGGGAAAUGGAUAUUAGACAAAGAAGCACAUGUUAUCACAAGUGGUAAUUCUGAGAAAAUAAAUCAGUGUUUGUGAGAUAGAGCGAAGGUAGGACCCAGCUUAAGGUUCAUGGAAGGAUCUGCCCUGCCUGGCUGGAGGAGAGGAGGCUGGGAACAUGUGGAGCCAAAUGCUUGAGAAGGUGACCCUGUGAUUUAUCACCCAGACUAGUAACAGUUGAGAGUGGAAAGACACUGCAUUAAUAAUAAUGUUGGGGUGACAAGUCACCUACUAGUAGGUCAAGGUGUAGAGCUGUUAUUCUCAGGGGUAUGCAUAAAGAAUUUGGGAGCCCAUCAGAGCACGGCUCCCAACUUGGCCUUUGUCCCUGACAUGACUUUGGGUACCUUGACCUUGUGAACCUCAGUUUCUUCAGCUGCAAAAAGGAGGCAGUGGUGACAGUUACUCAUGGGGUUGGUGGAAGGCAAUGGGGUUAAGAAACACACAGUAUUGCAUAGAAAGCAGCUGGCAGUGAGUCAGCUCUCCUUCCUCUUUGGGAGCUCCCAUGGACCAGCCCAGCCUGGAAGACUUCCUUUUCUUGUGUAACCAAAUAUCCAACUAGCAGUAGUUAAAGGGAGGAAGGGUUUAUUUUGGCUUUGAAGAUACAGCCCAUCAUGAUGAGCAAGUCAUGGCCGCAGCAGCUGGUCAUAUUGUACCCACAUCUAGGAAAGAGAGAGAGAGAGGGAGGGAAAGAAAGAGAGAGAGAGAGAGAGAGAGAGAGAGAGAGGGAGAGAGAGAGAGAUGCUCAGAUUUCUGAAGUUGGGGAGGGCCCACAGAAUGGUGUCUCUUACAUUUAGGGUGGAUUGGCCCACCUCAAUUAACCUAAUCUAGAUAAUGCCUCCCAGGCACACCCACAGGUUUAUCUCCUGGAUGAUUCUAGAUCCUGUCAACUUGACAGUCUAUCACAUAUCCCUCUGGGCCUACCUGUCAGGUUGCACGGAUCUUGAGAGUUUCUGGUACCCUUUCUGCCAGAAGGCAGCUUGUAUUAUGAAAGCCUGAGUUUUGAAUGAAGUGUCAAAUAUAAUUUGGCAAUACUAAGAAUUCAUUAUUAGAAAAGCCAGGAGCCUAGCUCUGAGUGUGAAAGUGAUGUCUACUCACUGGGAGGGGCCUUCACAGGUACCCCAGGCUUAUGUAACAGAUUCGGGGAGGCCAGAGAUUUGCAUGUCCACUGUGGAUCCUGGGACCUCGGAGUCAAGGCUCUUUGAGGAGUGCCCAGAGGUGGGUGUGAAGGAGGGAGAAGAAAGCCUUCCCUGAGUCUCUCCCAUGUGUCCAGGGAUUUUGUUAUCAGAACAGAACUGGUCCUCUGGCCCUGAAAAGAGCGUCUAAGAUAAAAACUGGGUGGCCGUGCUCAGCUACCUGGGAAACUGAGGCAGAAGGAUUACUUGAACCUAGGAGUUUGAGCCCAGCUCAGGAAGUACAGUGCAACCCUGUCUUGAGGAUGGAGGGCAGUGGCACCUGAGAAGUGGGAUCCAGGACUAUGUCUGAAGCAGAUGGAGGGUCAGCAUUUUGGGAAAAAAAAAGUGUCACACAAAGAAACACCCAAAUAAAGCAAAAUUAAGGAAC
rnacentral:lncRNA from 1 species